rnacentral:sRNA from 1 species
AUGUACCACGCGUCCACUGCGGUUCUGAGCGCGCCGUCCGCGUCCACCUUGCC